rnacentral:rRNA from 1 species
AUUGAACGCUGGCGGCAGGCUUAACACAUGCAAGUCGAGCGAGCGGCGGACGGGUGAGUAAUGUCUGGGAAACUGCCUGAUGGAGGGGGAUAACUACUGGAAACGGUAGCUAAUACCGCAUACCCUGAGAUGUGCCCAGUUGGGAUUAGCUAGUAGGUGGGGUAAUGGCUCACCUAGGCGAUGGUCCCUAGCUGGUCUGAGAGGCUGACAAGCAAAACUGGAACUGAGACACGGUCAAUACUCAUACGGGAGGGAGCAGUGGGGAAUAUGGCACAAUGGGCGCAAGCCGGAUGCAGCCGUGCCGCGUGUAUGAAUGAGGCCUUCGGGUUGUAAAGUACUUUCAGCGGGGAGGCGUUACCCGCAGAAGAAGCACCGGCUAACUCCGUGCCAGCAGCCGCGGUAAUAC